rnacentral:rRNA from 1 species
GCUGAGUUGUUGGAGGCUUAGUGCUCUCCAGUAAUGCAGCUAACGCAUUAAGCAUCCGCCUGGGGAGUACGGUCGCAAGAUUAAAACUCAAAGGAAUAGACGGGGACCCGCACAAGCGGUGGAGCAUGUGGUUUAAUUCGAAGAUACACGAAGAACCUUACCUAGGCUUGACAUUGAGAGAAUCCGCUAGAAAUAGUGGAGUGUCUGGCUUGCCAGACCUUGAAAACAGGUGCUGCAUGGCUGUCGUCAG